rnacentral:piRNA from 1 species
UAUGAACCAAAACAUGCUGUGUGUGU